ACGGAGGAUGCGAGCGUUAUCCGGAUUUAUUGGGUUUAAAGGGUGCGUAGGCGGAAAAAUAAGUCAGUGGUGAAAACCUUCAGCUUAACUGGAGACUUGCCAUUGAUACUGUUAUUCUUGAGUAUAGUUAAGGUAGGCGGAAUGUGUAAUGUAGCGGUGAAAUGCUUAGAUAUUACACAGAACACCAAUUGCGAAGGCAGCUUACUGAGCUAUAACUGACGCUGAUGCACGAAAGCGUGGGGAGCGAACAG
rnacentral:rRNA from 1 species